rnacentral:sRNA from 1 species
GCGCAACACGCGGACGCUCCGGUUCCUGGGCGCCGCGCACGCCGAGCUGACAACCGCUCGCGACGUUCUGUGCGCC